UACGGAAGGCAGCAGUGGGGAAUAUUGCACAAUGGGCGCAAGCCUGAUGCAGCCAUGCCGCGUGUAUGAAAAGGCCUUCGGGUUGUAAAGUACUUUCAGUCGUGAGGAAGGUGUUAAGGUUAAUAACCUUAGCAAUUGACGUUAGCGACAGAAGAAGCACCGGCUAACUCCGUGCCAGCAGCCGCGGUAAUACGGAGGGUGCGAGCGUUAAUCGGAAUUACUGGGCGUAAAGGGCACGCAGGCGGUUAAUUAAGUUGGAUGUGAAAUCCCCGGGCUUAACCUGGGAAUGGCAUUCAAGACUGGUUAGCUAGAGUCUUGUAGAGGGGGUAGGAAUUCCAUGUGUAGCGGUGAAAUGCGUAGAGAUGUGGAGGAAUACCGGUGGCGAAGGCGGCCCCUGGCAAAGACUGAUGCUCAUGUGCGAAAGCGUGGGGAGCAAACAGGAUUAGAUA
rnacentral:rRNA from 1 species